rnacentral:misc_RNA from 1 species
GAUGAAGAACGUAGCGAACGUGCGAAACGUAAUGUGAAUUGCAGAAUUCAGUGAAUCAUCGAAUCUUUGAACGCACAUUGCGCCCCCUGGUAUUCCGGGGGGCAUGCCUGUUCGAGCGUCAUUUCACCACUCAAGCCUCGCUUGGUAUUGGGCAACGCGGUCCGCCGCGUGCCUCAAAUCGACCGGCUGGGUCUCCUGUCCCCUAAGCGUUGUGGAAACUAUUCGCUAAAGGGUGUUCGGGAGGCUACGCCGUAAAACAACCCCAUUUCUAAGGUUGACCUCGGAUCAGGUAGGGAUACCCGCUGAACUUAAGCAUAUCAAUAAGCGGAGGA